rnacentral:rRNA from 1 species
GACGAACGCUGGCGGCGUGCCUAAUACAUGCAAGUCGAGCGAAGUUUUUCUGGUGCUUGCACCGGAAAAACUUAGCGGCGAACGGGUGAGUAACACGUAAAGAACCUGCCUCAUAGACUGGGACAACUAUUGGAAACGAUAGCUAAUACCGGAUAACAGCAUUAACUGCAUGGUUGAUGUUUGAAAGUUGGUUUUGCUAACACUAUGAGAUGGCUUUGCGGUGCAUUAGCUAGUUGGUGGGGUAAAGGCCUACCAAGGCGACGAUGCAUAGCCGACCUGAGAGGGUGAUCGGCCACACUGGGACUGAGACACGGCCCAGACUCCUACGGGAGGCAGCAGUAGGGAAUCUUCCGCAAUGGGCGAAAGCCUGACGGAGCAACGCCGCGUGAGUGAAGAAGGAUUUCGGUUCGUAAAGCUCUGUUGUUAGGGAAGAAUGAUUGUGUAGUAACUAUACACAGUAGAGACGGUACCUAACCAGAAAGCCACGGCUAACUACGUGCCAGCAGCCGCGGUAAUACGUAGGUGGCAAGCGUUGUCCGGAAUUAUUGGGCGUAAAGCGCGCGCAGGUGGUUUAAUAAGUCUGAUGUGAAAGCCCACGGCUCAACCGUGGAGGGUCAUUGGAAACUGUUAAACUUGAGUGCAGGAGAGAAAAGUGGAAUUCCUAGUGUAGCGGUGAAAUGCGUAGAGAUUAGGAGGAACACCAGUGGCGAAGGCGGCUUUUUGGCCUGUAACUGACACUGAGGCGCGAAAGCGUGGGGAGCAAACAGG